GACACCGUAGCCAAGUGGUUACGGCGACAGAUUCGAACUUAGCCGUUUACGUAAGCGGUUUGUCAGCUAUCUGUUGGGGUUUCCCCGCGUAGGUUCGAAUCCUGCCGGUGUCG
rnacentral:tRNA from 1 species